AAUUCCGAAGGGGCAUUAGGAUGCUGGACGAGGAGUUUGGAUCAAGUUGGCCAAGCUUCUGGAUACUUGGCUCGCCUGGUGUUGGUUUGUUUAUGAAGCCAUAUGUUGCGAUAUCGAUGGCAACAACUCGGCAGUGUCAGCCAUACAAAUGAGUCCCAGGAGACUGUUUUUUGGGUUUGCAAAUACCAGAAAUUAUUGACUUGCGAUAAACUAACUUGAGCCGUAACUUGAAGAUCAAUACGUUGGGGUGUGUGGGAGGAAUGUUAAUCAUAAAUCACUUCAUAAAUCAUACUUCUCCUGCUUAGCAGAUCCCCUGACAGUACGCAGGAUAAGUUUAUAUUCCCCUUGAUGUGAAUCCCCUUUUGGCUCGAAAUGCUCAGUCGGGUAAUAUGUUCAUUAUGAAAUUUGCAUCAAUAAUUUGCAUUUCCCAGCUACUUGACCCUGACAUCCGGAAGGAAUUCUCAUCGCUGUGCUGAGGGGAUAAGGAUAACUUCAAUCGGGACUUUGCUCGGAGCUGGAAAUCUUAUUAAAGCCAACGAAGCAUGUUCACUCCCUAGGGGGCAAAACGGAGGGGACUCGAGCAACUUUAAGCUGCCAUCGGCAAAGAUUUUGUUGCACAGCUCCUUUCACUUCCGCAAAACUAAGGAACUAAGGCACUGAGGGGACCGAAAGCAGCCAAAUGCAAUUGCCAACAAGUGGGGUGCAAAAUAAAUUCCAGAUUAAAUAUUAUCGAGUGCGGCACGUCCUGCGUGUGUCCUGCUCCGUUAGCCUAGCCGGAGUGCAUCGGAGUGAGGCGGAGUAAGGCGACACUUACGUUGUAUCCUUAGCAAAAUUGUUAUCUGAUCGGAGUCCGAGAAAGUCGGCGUUAUGCGCAUCGCCCGACACGUGUACUCCCCGGCAUCCGCUUGGCUCACAUUCCUGAUGUACAGACCGUUGGACAGGCGAUUGUGCUUCGUCGAGUUGACGGCUGCAGGCGAAACAAAGCGGAGGGGAGCGUUACAAAUGUGGUCAAAACGGAGGUCGGGAUAUGCAUGCAUGGCCAAGAAGUUUUGCAAGUGUGUGCAGCCAGAAAAUUGAACUAACAAAUCCGGAGCCAGGAGACCUCCGGCGCGGGCAUUCCCUCCACGAAGCAAUUGACCAUCGCGUCGCGUCCCUCGCGCACCGACUGCACUUGCUCCGUCUUGCCAAAUGAGAUUUUCUCUGCGGACCAAGUCAGAUGGAAUGUGGAUGGGAGCAGAAGGACAAUGAGGAGGAGGAGGAGAGGAAGCCGGAAGGGGUGCGUUGUUCAAAUUCCGUGUGUAAAUAUGCAGUCAUGAUAGCCACCGCACCCCCACCCACCGCAUGGAUACUAUGCUAUGCAGGGUAUAUGUACAUAUAUAACUAAGCAGCUUCUUUGCUGCCUCUGUUUACUUGGUCUCUCUUUGAUUGGAAAGUUGACAGAUUGUGUUCCGGUUCAUUGCCUUACUUUAAAUGUGGCUAGCGAAGCAGUCAGUCAUUCCGAUUUGUAAACACAUUAAAUGAUUUGUCAGUCGGAAAUUGGUCCGGAAUUGUGUGCAAAAAGUGGUCGAGAGCAUUGUGGCCAAAUUGGACAACUUGCAAACGAAGAUUUUUGUCAGCCAAAUAAUGAAGUUGAAAUAUAUAAUUGCCAACUGAAUGAAACUCCUCUCGUUUGGCAGUCCUGCCGAAUCACAACUAAGAGGACAAGUAAACAGAUCCUGCUGCAGAUUUUACGACCCCGUUUCUUUAAUGCCCUUCAAGUCCCCAAAGCCGAAGUCAACUUACGAUUUACGAGCAGCUCGAAGGAGGCCAAAAAUUCACGUUCCACAUUCACGUUGCGAUUGCCGUUCCUGUUCCCGUUCACCUCGCAGGUCCAGUUCCCUCUGUCCUCCAGUGCGAUGUGCUCGAAAACUAAUGCCAGGAGUCCUGAAACAAAGGACAUGCACAGCGGAAAGUCUGCACAAUUGGUUGUUCCUUUUCUAAUGAAAUAUGGCAGUUUUUCGAAUGAUUUCGUCAGCUUUUUAUGGCGCAUCCCAGAGCGGCAAAUUCUUCACUUCCCAGUGCGCGUACCUACUUUUUAUUACAUUUUCCCGAGCCCAGCUACAAAAACCCUUUGCCCCGUCCUUUGGAAUGCUUAGCUUUGGACGGCUAAAAUUUCAGUCAAACAGUUCGAGAGCUUUUGUGCAGACAAAAUUGAAAACAAAUAUCCAAAACUAUUUGCAAAAGGGAUAAGAGCUGGUUUUACAGCGUUUUGUGUGCGAUUUCUUUUUCGACAUGCUGCUGACGGCUGGCUAAAUUAAUUAUUGGUAAUUGAAUCUAUAGCACCACGUGCACACACAAACGGGGAAACCAUUGAAAAUAUAAGCUGGUCAUAUGUAUUGCCAAGUUUUUGGUGAAUUUUUCGACAAUGAAAUUAAGCUAGAAAACAAUACAUUGUUGAUUUUAUAUGU
ensembl:ncRNA asRNA:CR43464 antisense RNA:CR43464